ACAUGCAAGUCGAACGGCAGCGGGGGCUUCGGCCUGCCGGCGAGUGGCGAACGGGUGAGUAAUGCAUCGGAACGUACCCAUUCAUGGGGGAUAACUACGCGAAAGCGUAGCUAAUACCGCAUACGCCCUGAGGGGGAAAGCGGGGGAUCUUUCGGGACCUCGCGUGAUUGGAGCGGCCGAUGUCGGAUUAGCUAGUUGGUGGGGUAAAGGCCUACCAAGGCCACGAUCCGUAGCUGGUCUGAGAGGAUGAUCAGCCACACUGGGACUGAGACACGGCCCAGACUCCUACGGGAGGCAGCAGUGGGGAAUUUUGGACAAUGGGGGCAACCCUGAUCCAGCCAUGCCGCGUGAGUGAAGAAGGCCUUCGGGUUGUAAAGCUCUUUCAGUUGGGAAGAAAAGGUGCCCUCUAACAUAGGGUGCUGCUGACGGUACCGACAGAAGAAGCACCGGCUAACUACGUGCCAGCAGCCGCGGUAAUACGUAGGGUGCGAGCGUUAAUCGGAAUUACUGGGCGUAAAGCGUGCGCAGGCGGUUCGCUAAGACAGGUGUGAAAUCCCCGGGCUUAACCUGGGAACUGCGCUUGUGACUGGCGGGCUACAGUACGGCA
rnacentral:rRNA from 1 species